AGCGCAGGUGAAAUGGGUUAUGCCUGGCUCCCUGUAUGCCACACAUAUAGACCAAUUCAUGGGGUGAUUGGCUCUAUUGUGGGUGGCGUGCAAGGAGCCAAGCAUGCCUCUCUCUCUCUCUC
rnacentral:pre_miRNA from 15 species